UGCUUCCCCCCCCCCCCCCCCCCCCAGCUGCGGCCCUGCCAAUCAUCAAGGAAAACAUUGCCCAGUGAUGAAUUGGUGAAUAAUAAGAAAGAAAACAAGAAUGGGCACAUUUGUCACAGAUAUGAUGCACCAGAAGUAUUGUUUCACUUUUAAUUUUUAAUGUCUACUGAAUAUAUUUGAAAUGAUAAACUUAAUUGAGUAGUGGGUGCUAUAAGAAAAAAACCCCACCCACCAAUGUAUGUGAUAACAUUUGAAGUACAAUGUAUGUUUAAAUGAAUUUUACCUUCCAACAAUCCUGAAAAUCCAUUAAGAUAUAGAUGUUAAAUGAUAAAGUCAAUGGAUGAGACUAUAUUGUAGUAACAUUGAUGAUGUGCAAAAAUCUAUUAUUUCUAAAUAUACCUAAAUGCAAUUGAUUGGAAGCACAUCAUUUCUCAUAUUGUGGUAACAUCAAAACAGAACAGUGAAUGUCAAAAACAAUGAAAUUCAAUCGAAUGAAACAAGCAAUUAUUAAAUGAAAUUUGGACACGUUUAGUCCACAGAAACAAUUACAAAUGGCCAACAAAUACAGGUAGUAAUAGUGUAACAUUAGCAAAUUGAUGUUCUGUAAAUGCAACUGUCUAUACUAGAGUAAUAUGGAUACACAGUACACAAUACAAGUAUGAGCUUUUUAAAGAUAAUAUAUGCACAUGGUACAUUAUGUAUGUAUUGAGUUUUUGAAGGUAAUACAUGUAUAUGCAUAUGGUAUGUUAUAUGUGUAUUAGCAUGUUUAAGGCAAUACUUGAAUAUGCAAAUUAUACAAUGUCAUGUAUUAGCUUUCUAAAAGUAAUGUAUAUGCACAUGUUGCCAGUACAUUAUAGAUGCAUGUAUAUCAUUUAAGCUGGACAAAAAAUACUUAUCAACAUUUGGCAAAUUUACCAAAUUCAUUGUUUUAUUGACAUCAAAAUAAUAGUUAAAAAACAUACCCAAUGAAGAAAUUUGCAUCUGAUGAAUUUGCCAACUUUAUUUCUCAAGAUGAUGUGAAAUGCACAUAUGAUAAUGUAAAAGCCUGUACAUGUAAUGUUCAGGUGGGUGGGAAGGAAUGGACCUAUGAUAAUGUACAUGUAAUGUUCAGGUGGGUGGGAAGGAAUGGGCAUAUGAUAAUGUACAUGUAAUGUUCAGGUGGGUGGGAAGGAAUGGACCUAUGAUAAUGUACAUGUAAUGUUCAGGUGGGUGGGAAGGAAUGGACCUAUGAUAAUGUACAUGUAAUGUUCAGGUGGGUGGGAAGGAAUGGGCAUAUGAUAAUGUAAAAGCCUGUACAUGUAAUGUUCAGGUGCGUGGGAAGGAAUGGGCAUAUGAUAAUGUAAAAGCCUGUACAUGUAACAUUCAGGUGGGUGGGAAGGAAUGGGCAUAUGAUAAUGUAAAAGCCUGUACAUGUAAUGUUCAGGUGCGUGGGAAGGAAUGGGCAUAUGAUAAUGUAAAAGCCUGUACAUGUAACAUUCAGGUGGGUGGGAAGGAAUGGGCAUAUGAUAAUGUAAAAGCCUGUACAUGUAAUGUUCAGGUGCGUGGGAAGGAAUGGGCAUAUGAUAAUGUAAAAGCCUGUACAUGUAAUGUUCAGGUGGGUGGGAAGGAAUGGACCUAUGAUAAUGUACAUGUAAUGUUCAGGUGGGUGGGAAGGAAUGGGCAUAUGAUAAUGUACAUGUAAUGUUCAGGUGGGUGGGAAGGAAUGGGCAUAUGAUAAUGUACAUGUAAUGUUCAGGUGGGUGGGAAGGAAUGGACCUAUGAUAAUGUACAUGUAAUGUUCAGGUGCGUGGGAAGGAAUGGGCAUAUGAUAAUGUAAAAGCCUGUACAUGUAAUGUUCAGGUGCGUGGGAAGGAAUGGGCAUAUGAUAAUGUAAAAGCCUGUACAUGUAAUGUUCAGGUGGGUGGGAAGGAAUGGGCAUAUGAUAAUGUACAUGUAAUGUUCAGGUGGGUGGGAAGGAAUGGGCAUAUGAUAAUGUAAAAGCCUGUACAUGUAAUGUUCAGGUGCGUGGGAAGGAAUGGGCAUAUGAUAAUGUAAAAGCCUGUACAUGUAAUGUUCAGGUGGGUGGGAAGGAAUGGGCAUAUGAUAAUGUAAAAGCCUGUACAUGUAAUGUUCAGGUGGGUGGGAAGGAAUGGGCAUAUGAUAAUGUAAAAGCCUGUACAUGUAAUGUUCAGGUGCGUGGGAAGGAAUGGGCAUAUGAUAAUGUAAAAGCCUGUACAUGUAACAUUCAGGUGGGUGGGAAGGAAUGGGCAUAUGAUAAUGUAAAAGCCUGUACAUGUAAUGUUCAGGUGCGUGGGAAGGAAUGGGCAUAUGAUAAUGUAAAAGCCUGUACAUGUAAUGUUCAGGUGGGUGGGAAGGAAUGGACCUAUGAUAAUGUACAUGUAAUGUUCAGGUGGGUGGGAAGGAAUGGGCAUUACAGCUAGCAGGGCUAGCUCUGGCAGUAAACAAAUUCACCAAUUGCAAAUUUCAAAAACAAUUGGCGAAUUUUGUUUUAAUUUGGCGAAUUAAUUUCAUGAUGUUAUGAAACUGGUUCCAAAAGGUAAUUUGUGUGUAAUAUUUUAUUUUUGUUAGGCCAUUUCUUUAAGUCAACUGUCCGUGUUACUAUGUCUUUACUACAGGUCAAUGUGUACUCAGGGCUGCAAAAAGUACUUGCCCUCUCGCCAAAUGCGAGAAAAAAUUCUGUCUGACUGAGGAGGUAAAAAAUACAUCUACCAGUCCGACAGGCCACCUGUCUUUUUCGGAUGACCGUAAUGGGUUUUUCCCCAUCGAAUCCGCAUCAGUCAUGUCAGAAUUCCAAACCAUUCAAACAACCUGUUCAGAAUAUUGACGGAAUACACAAAAUGCAUGUACCACACUGACAAUAGAUGACUUCAAAUAUAUUUGUCAAAUAUAGCCUAUGUCUAUCAUUUGAAGCAUAUUGCUAAACAAUUUAAUAUAUCGUUCUAUGGGCUGGCGGACUGGUAUAAAUACUUGAAAGCUAGUACAUUUUAGUUGGUUCUUGUCUGGCGGGCUAAUAAACUGUUUUCCAUUUCUGCACCCCUGGUACUGUUUUAAAUAAAGCACAGGACUUUAAAAAGUGUCCUCCUAGAACAGUGACUAUUUAAGAGAAGUUGGACACUCAAACAGGUUUGACUGUAUGUUGUAGUUAAUAAAUCAGGGGCGGAUCAUGCUUUAGGUAAGGGGGGGGGGGCAGGGUUCCAAAACAAUAUGUAAAUGUUUAUAAUUUGAAAUUAUAAAUUUUACGUGGACAUCAGUUUAGAUCUAUGAGGUGGGUUUUUUUUAGGCAGGGGGGGGGGUCUGUGCAACUGGGAAACCCCCCAUAAUCCGCCCCUGUAAAUGAACAUUGUAUAUUAUCCAUGUACAUACAUUAUCUUUAGGUUAUAUACACAAAUGCUACAUGAUACAUGUACUAGCAGUUUGAAGCUAAUAUAUAUAUAUAUAUAUAUAUAUAUGUUCACACGGUAUAGUAUUCAGUUUUAAAAUGGUAAUAUAUGCACAUUAUACAUGUAUUACCAUUCUUAAGGCAAUUUGUGCACAGUAUACAUUUUGGACCAAAUUUAUGAAACCUGUUUUUCUUAAACCAUAGUGUUUAAGCAUUGUAAAUAUAUGUAGUUGCACACAUGUUAAGACAAAAACAGGUUUUGUAAAUUUGGUCCUAUGUGUUAUUUUUUUGAAGUCACAUAGGCACAGUACACGUUAUUACCCUUUUUGUCCGUCAUUUUACAAAAUAUUUAUCUGUGCACUAAAUACAACCAAAUUCAUUCAACAAAUAUGAUUUUAUAACCAGGGGCCUAAUUCACAAAGCUCCCUUAGGCUCUGAUAGACAACAAAGCAUCCUCUUUGCAAGUCCUUUUAGUAUUGCACUGCGAGAUCGCAAAGUUGCAAGACUUUAGUGAAUUAGCCCCAGUUUACAAAAUAAUAAUAUUAAUAAUAAGAAUCAGUGUGAUCUUCAUUUUGAUAUUAACAUAUAGCUGGUAUCUAAAUCAAUCUAUCAAUGUUUUAUCACGGGUUUCGGUUUUUUGUCUGCAAAUUUUUCAAAAUAUCAACCAAUUAUUGAAAAGAAUAAAUGAAUUCAGAUUAUGUGCAAGUACCAGCAUCGGACACAAAUUUUUGAAUAAUAUUCACAGUCAUGCUUUGACAAAUUGAAAACAAAGAACAUGAACUGUGGGAAGAUCCGCAAUGUACAAUGGAAGUAAAAAAAAAAAAAAAGUUCUCAGGGACAUAUUAUGGAAAGGGGAGGCUAUCAGGUAUAAAAAUCAAAGUACCACUUUGACUCUAUAUAUCAUAGGAUCAGUCCAUCUACCUUUGUGAGGGUGGGGUGGAAGGCAAACCAGUAUAAAAAUCCUAAAUCGAUCACUGAUUCCAGGAGCAAGUUCAGCCAGCCAUUCAUCACUAACAUUUUGCUAAACUGGUUUUUACAUUACACAUUAAAGCGAAUGGCCACUUUGGAAACCUGUGAAAAUAGUUUACAACAUUUAGCGAAAAACGGCUGGCUGAACAUAAACCAGGUAUAAUACAUCUCCACCAUCCCUGCUCCAACUACCGUUAUAUAUUUUUAAUACUGUAGUUACUUACUUAGGCAAAUUAAUGACACCUGUUACAAAGGGCACCAGUCCACAAUUUACAUUUCAAGUAUAUUCCAAAGGCAAAAGAAUGCAUGUAUUUUACCUCUGUAUUAUGGCCACCUGUUCAUAAACAAUUUAUGUAGAUCCUUGGGUACAUUUCAUACUCAUCUGGAAAAACAUCAGGCCAACUGAAUCCAAGAUAUUAGGGUUGUCACCAGCGGGACGAGGGAUUAAAAAAUACCCAAAAAGAAGAAGAGCUUUUUAAAAUUAAAAAUAGCCUUUUUGUGUAGCUGAAGAAGACUUCAUAUCACCGAUUCCUGGGCCUCAUUCUUAAUGGCCACCCUCUAGUUACUUAAGACUAGGUACAGCCCUAAGUCCUGGGCCUCAUUCUUAAUGGCCACCCUCUAGUUACUUAAGACUAGGUACAGCCCCAAGUCCUGGGCCUCAUUCUUAAUGGCCACCCUCCAGUUACUCAAGGCUAGGCACAGCCCUGUAUGUUACCGCCGGAUCUUCCCACAAGUUACAAAAGGAAAGAAUACAAAAGAAGCAAAUAAAUAAACAAACCCAGCAUACAUUAUGCUUUGGCACUAUUUUCAUUUGUAGCCUCAGCCACAUCAAAAAUCCAUUCUAACCGCAACUUCUCAAUCACACCGACAGUAGAUGGGUAAAAAUCCAUACAAAACAUGAAGAAAUAAAAGAGUAAUAAAACUAAAA